AAAGCAAGCAAUUGGAGAUGAAGUUGGAAUGUUGAGUGGCGUGCUUGGUCUGUUAGGAUCUGACUUUGAAAAAUUUUCUAUUUGUAAGAAAAGUUGGCAUAAGAUUACCACUAAAGACAAGGUUUAUAACGAAUGUGUCAAGCAAAUUUUCUACUUUGAUAAAGAUAGUGAAGGAACUAUCAAGAAAAAUAUUUUGAAAAGUAUGGGGAAGUCUUGGAAGGAAGCAAGGCUAAGGUUGUAUGGUGAUUUUUAUGAGCCAACAUUCAUGAUGGAACAAAAUAUUGAGCAGCAUCCGCCGGGAAUUGAUCGAGAGCAUUGGAGAUGGUUCCUUGAGUAUCACGCCAAAGCUGAGAUGAAGGUACUCUAAUAUAUCACUGGUACACCACAACACAAUUUAUUUAGCAUUGAGUCUUUUUAAAUCAUUUUCUAAUCGCCCUUUGUCUCUGAUGGACCAAUAGGAGAAGUGUAGAAAAAAAAACGCGAUUAAUCGAUCAAAAUAACUAUAUACCCACACUGGCGGAUCGAAAAGCUUUGCACGGCGGAUGGAAGAAGAGUCGGAACAACAAGGAAGAAGAGUCGGUAGAGGAGAGUUAUGGAUCACAGUGCACAAAAAAAAGGAUGGCUCCUAUAUAUAUGAGGAAGCAAGAGCAAUUGGUGUAAGUACUACUUAUUAUAAUUGAUCAAUAAAGUUAUGAUCUCAAAUAGGGUUAUAGUCGACUUCUCUAUUUUAUUUUGUUUUUCAUUUCUUUACUGAAUGGUUUACUCCCCUAUGUCAAGAUGGACCAAAAGAACUUUACUAUUUCCAAUUCACCUUACUUUUAAUUAUUGUUACAAAUUUACCUUGCUAUGUUUCUAGACAUUUUCAACUUCGAUGUAACUUAGAGACAGUUGGGGUAGAAUUUAAAUGAUUCAGUUUCACUUAUCCUUUAUUUCUUUUUAUAGUGGUUGGCAUCCUAUGAAACAAAUGCUCUAUUUUAGUUGUUUUACGUUGUUAUCUUUUGAGCCCCAAUUUUUAUCGUAACAUUUGUGUGUGUUUUACUGUGAUGAAAGUGAUAUAAUUAAUGUUCCUAUUUGGCGUGUUCUUGACAUGAGAUGGACCUAUCCACAAAAUGAUUGUAUGUGCUAAUUUGUGACUGUAGG